UAGCUGUAAACGAUACUCGCUAGGUGUCGGCCACGGUGCGACCGUUGUCGGUGCCGUAGGGAAGCCGUGAAGCGAGCCACCUGGGAAGUACGGCCGCAAGGCUGAAACUUAAAGGAAUUGGCGGGGGAGCACAACAACGGGUGGAGCUUGCGGUUUAAUUGGAUUCAACGCCGGAAAUCUUACCGGGACCGACAGCAACAUGAAGGCCAAGCUGAAGACUUUGCCGGAUUAGCUGAGAGGUGGUGCAUGGCGUAGUCGUGU
rnacentral:rRNA from 1 species